UUUUCUGAUUACAUUUUGGUUUUUUUAGAGAAUUGCUACUUAAACUUUUCAUGAAUGUUCGCAAAAAUUAGCAUAGGUACUAAUGUUCAGGGAUCUUAAUGGAAAUAAUAUCACAAGGAUUACAAAAACGGAUUUUGCUGGUCUUAGACAUCUUCGUGUUCUUCAACUCAUGGAAAACAAGAUCACUACAAUUGAGAGAGGAGCAUUUCAAGACUUAAAAGAGUUGGAGAGACUGUAAGUUUGUUUUUUAAAAAAAAAAUAA